rnacentral:lncRNA from 1 species
UUAACUUUUCUUUAAUCUAUAAUUAAACUUUUAUCCCUAUUGCAAUUUAAUCCUUUUUCAUAAUUAACCAUCGAAACGUUAAAAUUUCUUAACGAAACUUUAAUACUACCCUAUUAACACUCCGUAAAUAUUUAUAAAAAUAUUUACGGCUCAGUUUAUGAUAUCGAGGUCUCGAUACCUCGUUUUUUACCCAAUUUACCUAAUAAUUUCUUUUAAAUCACAAAAUUCACUCAUUUAAAAAUAUUUCUAAAAUCAAGUUGAACUUAUAAUUAUUAAUUAAUAAAUUUUUCUAACGUUUUCAUCGGAUUUAGUGAUCUCAAAUCACUAUUCUGACACUACUGAAAAUUGGGCUGUUACAACUCUUCCCCCCUUUAAAAAUUUCGUCCUCGAAAUUUCUCACCUAAGACAAGCUAUUAAGUCAAAUCUUUCCUCACCUUUUCAAUCGAAGUUCAUAA